rnacentral:rRNA from 1 species
AUUGAACGCUGGCGGCAGGCCUAACACAUGCAAGUCGAACGAGUGGCGGACGGGUGAGUAAUGUCUGGGAAACUGCCUGAUGGAGGGGGAUAACUACUGGAAACGGUAGCUAAUACCGCAUACCAACGGAUGUGCCCAGAUGGGAUUUGCUAGUAGGUGGGGUAACGGCUCACCAAGGCGACGAUCCCUAGCUGGUCUGAGAGGUUGACCAGCCACACUGGAAGUGAAACACGGGCCAGACUCCUACGGUAGUCAGCAGUGGGGAAUAUUGCAAAAUGGGCGCGAGCCUGGUGCAGCCAUGCCGCGUGUAUGAAGAAGGCCUUCGGGUUGUAAAGUACUUUCAGCGGGGAGGCGUUACCCGCAGAAGAAGCACCGGCUAACUCCGUGCCAGCAGCCGCGGUAAUGC